rnacentral:lncRNA from 1 species
GUGAGCCCCUUGGUGCGGAGAAACUUGGAGAUGAAGGACACGGCGGCGGCGAUCUCGCCUAUCAUGGUGGCGGCCCGGGUGUAGAAGGGAUGCAUGGGGGCGGCGUGCGGGGGCGGCCCGGGGCGGCUGGGGCUCGGCGGCGCGGCCCCGACGGCGGAGCAGCCACCCCGGGCUUCCUCACCGGGCGGAAGGCUGAGAGGAAGAGAGGGCGUGAGGGGCGGACGACUACUUUUGUCUUUCUUUCUUUAGACUAAAAAAGUUAUUUUCGAGACAGGAGGCGGCAGGAGAGAGGAAGAGACGAGCGAUGGCGGCCUGGUCACAUCGCUCGGACCUCCCCAGCUGCCUCCGCCUCCAGCUCCGCAGCAUUCGAAGAUCUCAAUAGCUGCAUUUCCAGCUCCGAGAGGCGAAGAGAUGCAAGCGCCGUGCAGCACCCUUUAUAGUGCCACGAAAAGGAAGUGGCGUAGCUGGAGCGUGAUGGCCGACUCCAGCCAAUCCGAAUAUCGCACCAUUGUGACGCAAGCCGGUUCGGAGCCGAAAGGGGCGGGAAAAGAGUUCAGGAGGCGGGUCCAGAGAUAGGGAAGAGAGGGAGGAGCUGACGUAAUCCGCUUGUAAACAAAUAAACCCGGAGUGGCGGCUGGAGACCCAGUUGCUUGUGUCGAGGGAGGGAGGGAGGGAACAGAGGGUGCGCGUGUGAAAGCUCCGCCCCCAGCCCUAGCUCCUCCUUCCCGCUUCAGCAGGUCCAGGCUCUGCGCCAGUGCAUCCUUCUCCAAGAGUGCGCUGCCUGGGCCCGCUUGCCCUGGAGUUAACUUCAGCAGUCAACGGAGAGAAGAGUGGAAACCUUACUGGAUGCGGACAGGAGAGCCAGUUACUGAAAGCAGAUAUAACGCGGAUCCUGUAAAGAGUGUGAUUGACAGACAAACCCCUAAAAUGAGAAGGAUCAGUGCGUCUGUCUGUAGAGAGUGACAGCGUUGAAGCAAGACAUUCAGAAGCCAGCCUGACACAAAGGGGACAAGAACAACUGCCACCCCAGCCCCCAUCUCAUUCCAAC